CCGGAAAAAAAAAAAAAAAUCAGGUUUCAACCCCUUAGCACUUGGCUUCAGUGCCUGUCUAUUCACAGAUGGAGCCCAGGCCAAUGGUCCAGGAGAUAAUCCCACCCUCCACUGUCAUAGAGGAACCCACUCCCCCAUCAGCGUGUGGCUCUUCUAGGAACUUGCCCAACACCUCCUUUGCAGUAUAUUUCAAAAAGUUUUUUUUUUUAAGAUUUAUUUAUUAUAUAUAAGUUCACUGCAGCUGUCUUCAGACACACCAGAAGAGGGCAUCAUAUCCCAUUUCAGAUGGUUGUGAGCCACCAUGUGGUUGCUGGGAAUUGAACUCAGGACCUCUGGAAGAGCAGUCUUAACCGUUGCGUCAUCUCUCCAGCCCCGUUCUGUUUUUAAAUCAUUGGUAAAUCCUUUUUAUUGUUCGUAGAGCUGGGCUUCCAAGUGCUGUUUUGUAUGGCACACAAAGAGAAGGCACACCAAGACUCACUCUACCGCAUGACUAGGACUGCCUGAAGGCUUUGAAAAUGAGCCAAGAAGCGAUCUCACAAGAAGAUAAAAAUUAGCCUAGGAACAAAGUCUCAUAGCAGAGAGAUGGUUGAGUUUUGGAAGAGAAGCUGAAAGGCUUGUAAGAGGAAAUCAGGGGCCAUAAAGGAAUGAACCCUGAGAAUUUUGUUUUCCUGGGAGUCUAGUGCUGGAGAAGAGAAAGGCAAAGCCCCAGCUCCAGCCAGAAGAAGACUUUGCCUUGCAAGGAAAGAUUUCACUCGGUGCUGACAUUUGUCUCACAGUUCAAUGGCGCAUGCACAUUCUGCCUCUCGUGUCAUCUUUGCUGUUGCUGUUGUCUCGCUAUGCAGCCCAGGCUGUCCUCACACUCACUCUGUAGCCCAGGCUGGCUUUGAACUCACAGAGAUCUACCUGUCUCUGCCACCUGAAUGCUGAGAUUAAAAGUGUGUGCAACCGUG